rnacentral:miRNA from 1 species
GACAACUCCGAGGUCAUCAAAGUGGCUGUGAUAUGAAUUCAAAGACGCCACAUUUCACAUACACUUUGUGACCCGAGAAUUGC